UCCCGUCUCCUGCGCAGGCGCAGUGGGCGGUCAGCGCCUCUCCUCAGGGCGAUGAGGGGACGUCGAGAUGGCGGUAGUGAAGCUUCAACCCCCUCCACAUCUAAUACCAGCCCAGGCUGCUCAGGGCCACAUCCAACCUGGCCAUGAACACCCUCAAGGAUGGACGGAGCAUCCACAGCCUCAUUGAGCAGCUGUUCCAGCACCUCAUCGCUCUCACACGCUGCUGCCUGCCCUGUGCCCCCACUGCAUUGGAGCCAUCCGCAUCUGAAUGGAAUUACAAGAGCAAAACACCUCCUGGGACUCAGCUUCAGCACAGCUGCCAUUUAAAGAGCUGUGGUUUGGCCCAGCUUCAGGGGGAGGUCAGCAAAGGGUCUCGUGAUGCAAGAAUACUAAAAGAACCACAAAGAAACCACAGAGACCCAAGGAAAGGGAGCAGCCCGAGCUCCCCAGCUGUGAGGUCUCACCAGCACUGAGGCAGCAAAGUCAUUCCAAGGACAAACCUCUCCUCAGUGAUGAAUGGUGCAAAAUAUGGCGCAGAUUGGAGCCGCUGGCUGUCGGAAAGGUGAAGUGCAGGAGGACAGCACCACCUCAGGUCUGGUCUUACAACAGGAGAGAUUUGUGCAGAAUUGGCUGCUCCAAGGGGAGCUCUUGAUGGCACAUUGAAGAGCCAGAGCAUGAAGCUUACACAACCAUCGCUUGUCUGAGCUCACUGCGUUGUGACAGCGGGUGAGCCGGACCCUCCUUCAUACGGCAUCUCCAAAUGUGACGUGGUUCAUGGAGUGAUUAGAAAUGUCAGACUGGAAGGAAUCUCUCAGAUCACCAAAAACAUCUCCUUCGUAUGACUGACUGCUUUUCACACAGAAUUGUAGGGGUUGGAAGGGACCUCCAGAGAUCAUCGAGUCCAACCCCCCUGCCAAAGCAAGUUCCCUACACCAGGUUGCACAGGGAUUUGUCCUUUCCUGGUCACCUCCAAGUCCUUCAGCACAGCUGUUGCAGUUUGAAGCAGUCAUUCUUGGACACAGGGGAGCAGAGUCACACGCAGUAAGUGCUUCAUUGCCUUGGGCAAUGCACUGAGUCUAUCUCUGCUGCCAAUACACAAACUGGACUUUCAGACUCGUUUUUCCUUCCCCGUGGCUAAAUCACACUGACAGCUUAUAAUUACAGGAUAUGAUUAAUUAGUAUGUCAAGUUCCUGCCCAUCCCAUUAGUUCCAGUUACUGUGCACCCACUCCUGGAGCAGCAGGUUGUGUUGUUGCCCCCACUGUAAAAGGCUUUUUCCUUAUAUCUAACCCUGUAAUAUUUCAGUGAGAAGCAGUCCUAGGCUUUCUAUGUGUUCCCAGGCACCCAUUGACUGCACUGAGUUGUUAAGUGAUUCCAGUUAUAAGAGACGUGGCUCACCUUUGUUCAUCGGGGUCCCUUAAAAAAAUCAAGAGGUAAUCACUGAAAAAUCAACAUUAGCAGCACUAACGGCCAUAAAAUCAUAACGCCUUUUAUUUAACAUAAAAUGAAACAUGAAGAUAAAAUACACAGUUGCCCAUGUGCUGAAGAACUAUGGUAUUUUACAUUCAUUUAUAAAGCAGGUAGUUUUACAUGACAAAAAGAAGUGAGAGGAAAAGGAACGGAAUCUGCAGUAAGACAGAAGCCACGGGGCAGGCUUUUGCUUGUCCAAAGUGCUACCUCCUAUGGGCACAGAUCUUCGAGUGACAGGUUAGAAACUGGCCGUUCUUAGCACUCCUUUGAUCCCUCUUAAUGCUUCUGAGAAGCUAAGGUGGAAGUUUACAGAGCAAAAUGAAUGACAACAUGUUGAGGAAACACCCUUGGCCAAGAGGCACAGCUGCAGCACGAUGGACCAUGUCUGUCCCUGCUGUCUUGCUCCUCUGCAGGAAUGGGCCCACACUGUUUUAAAUGCCUACAGCUUAUAUUACUUCAUCCCCUCCCGCCCCCCUUCUUCUUUUCUUUCUCUAUUGCCAGCUUUCUAAGUGAAAUUUGACUUUUCAAGCAGACAGCAGGAGGGUGAGGGCUCACAGAUGCACAGAUUUAGGGCAAAGGAAGGGAGCUACCACCCGUCAGUGAGGGUGGCUGCUGGCAGGCACAUCCCUUGCACACCUCCAGACACACAGUAAAGGAUUGUACCCGGAACCUCCGUCCCUGCUGCUUGAGACAAUGGAACAACACCUUCCACGUCGCAGCCACAGGUGGGCCAAGAGCACAGCCCUGCCCUGAGCAAUGCACACUGCAGUAUCUGAUAACUGAACGGUACAGGAGACAGACCAGGUAAGGUUUAAAUCAGGGUAGGAAGGAAUGGGAGAUGCAGCAGUACCAGGGGAACAAGGAAUGUUGGUUUUUCUUUUGUCAAAGUGCAGCAGAUUGAAACACGUUUCUAGUAUAUAUUUUGUCUACCCCAUAAAUCUUAAAUAUGAAAACAAACAUGAAACAGCCCUAAUUCCAUCUCACAUCUGUGGUGCUACCCAAGGUGUAAUGUCAGCACAAGGCUGAGGUGAAGCUGGUCUUGCUACGUACACGUGGCCAACAUGGCUGUGCACACCUAUACAGCUGCACACACAUCUGCACUGUCCCUGUACGCACACCCACCAGUGGGGCUUCCUGAUAGUGCAACUGUUCAGAGUGGAAGCCCCACCAAUGCUCAGACAGGGUUCCAUCCUCUUGUUUUCAAGAGAUCCCAAUGACAACCAAUGUGGUAUAAAAACACCAGUUGCCCGCCUUUUCAGGUUUCAGAUUUGUACUUUAAAACCUGACCUGUCAAUCAUUCUUCCUUCCCCACGUUCUUUCCUUCCCUGCUUUAAAUCACCUCCAACUUAUAUACAGGAGUUGCAGGAACAUGUGGGUAUAAAUGUCACUGGAGAUUCAUCUAACCCAAAUGGGCAUUGCAGAGGUGGGACAAGACAGGGAUGCUCUGGAGCUGUUUCUACCCUUAUCUCUAUGGCUAAUUUGUGUGCAGAACUGGGGCCAGCAGAUCUCAGCCUGCAGUGCCCUUGUCCCUGCCAUAGGGAAUGCCCCAUAGAAUCAUAGUAUGGCCUGGGUUGAAAAGGCCCACAACGAUCAUUUUGUUUCAGCCCCCUGGUGUGUGCAGUGCUACCAGCCACCACACCAGGCUGCCCAGAGCCACAUCCAACCUGGGUGGAUGUGCCCAUAGGGCAGUACUGUGGCCUCCCCCAUCGAGGGACAUCUCAAGGAUCCCACUCCAGUGCAUCCAAGUGGAUUCACUCCGCUCCCAAUAGCUGCAGGGAUGUAUUGUCCCUUACAGCAACACUUUCACCCCAGUUCCCACAAGCAGCUAGACCAUUCUGCUUUGACAGUGCUCCCUUGAAAUCACUGGACCUAUGGUAUGUUGUCUGAAUUCCCCCUUGGCACCCUGUGGUGCUCACACAAGCAAUGGAGCUACUGAUUGCCAUUCCAUGGCACAGCAAAACUGAGUUGCUUCGGAUUCUCUUUUGGUUGAGCAGCUUCUGUACCAACAUGUCUCUUUGGCUAUGAAGGUAGCAUUGUUUAUGGAAAGGAUCCACCUCAACUUGUUUCCUUGUUCUGCUGGGUGGCCGUGAGGCAAAAGGAAUGGAUACCGAUGGAAAGCAACAGGACACAGGACUGAAAAGGUUCUGUACGCUCCAUCUGAAGCUGCAAAACUCUCCCAGAUUCCUUCAGUGCUGAACUCCUGCUUUCCCUGCAGCCUCCCUCUUCGUGUCCUCCCUCCCUCUUCUCUUUUCUUCCCCUUUUAACAUUAUUACAUGCUCAAAUCCAACCAGCUCAAAUACUUUUUAAUACACUGAAAAUGUAAAAUAAAGAAUAUAUGAAGUACA